AUACAGAGGGUGCGAGCGUUAAUCGGAAUUACUGGGCGUAAAGCGCGCGUAGGCGGCUUGGUCAGUCGGAUGUGAAAGCCCCGGGCUCAACCUGGGAAUGGCAUUCGAUACUGCCAGGCUAGAGUAUGGGAGAGGGAAGUGGAAUUUCCGGUGUAGCGGUGAAAUGCGUAGAUAUCGGAAAGAACACCAGUGGCGAAGGCGACUUCCUGGCCCAAUACUGACGCUGAGGUGCGAAAGCGUGCGGAGCGAACAGGAUUAGAUACCCAAGUAGUCC
rnacentral:rRNA from 1 species